UUUGAGAGAAUCUCUCUAAAAGCUCUACGCAAAGCCCUCUCUUUUUCUUCCCAGGGAAAAAAAAUCUGAACAUGUUUCAGUAGGUUUUUAUAAAGAAUAGAAGAUUGUGUCUAUUCGCAUGUCGAUGUCGUUUGUUUUGUGUUGGCACAUUGUCUAAAAACAACACACUUUGAAACUUCUUUACUUGCCUGUAGAUUUUCUCAUCAGGCUGAUGGGUCCUGUAAGAGGGUUAAAGAAAAGAAGAAAGGUAGAGAAGAAACCUGAAGAAAAUGCCUCUGCUUCUUCUGAGAUGGAACGGUCUGUUGAUUGGUGGGAUGCGCUUUCCAAGAGGAUGAAUGGUCUUCAAUCGCCAUCUAAAGGUCUGGACAAGUUCAAAUCAGUUUUCAAAAUUUCCAGAAAAACUUUCAGCUACAUAUGUUCACUUGUGAUGGAAGACAUGAUGGCUAAGCCAGGAAAUUUCACAUUUUCAAAUGGAAAACCUUUGUCUUUCGAAGAUCAAGUAGCUGUAGCUUUGAGAAGGCUAAGCUCUGGUGAAUCACUAGUGACAAUUGGUGAUCUGUUCGGGCUGCAUCGCUCUACUGUCUCGCAAUUGACCUGGCGCUUUGUAGAGGCCAUGGAAGAAAGGGGUCUUCACCACUUGCAUUGGCCUUCCACUGAUGCAGAAAUGAUGGAAAUAAAGUCCAAAUUUGAAAAGAUUCAAGGACUUCCCAACUGCUGUGGUGUGAUUGACACUACUCAUGUUACGAUGUGUUUGCCUUCAUCAGACCCUGAAAGUAAGGUGUGGCUCGAUCGUGAGAAGAAUCAUAGCAUGGUCCUGCAGGCAAUUGUGGACCCUGAAAUGAGGUUCAGGGACAUUGUUACCGGUUGGCCAGGGAAGAUCGACGACUGGCUGGUGUUUCAGAGUUCAAAUUUCUAUAAACUGUGUGAUAAAGGAGAGAGAUUGAAUGGCAAAAAAGUUGAGGUGUCUAAAGGAUCAGAAAUAAGGGAAUACAUAAUCGGAGACUUAGGCUAUCCUUUGUUACCCUAUCUUGUUAUACCAUACAAGGGGAAAGAGCUACCAGAGAUUAACACUGAGUUCAAUAAAAGACAUUCGGCGACUCGGCUGGUGGCACGCAGGGCCUUGGCAAGGCUGAAAGAAAUGUGGAAGAUCAUCCAAGGGGUGAUGUGGAGACCUGACAAACAUAAGUUGCCCAGGAUCAUCCUGGUUUGCUGCUUGCUUCACAAUAUUGUUAUUGACUUGGAAGAUGAUGAUGUGCAGGAUGAAAUGCCUUUGUCUCAUGACCAUGAUUCGGGUUACCGACAACGGAUUUGCGAAUCUUUUGACAUUGAAGGUGUCCACCUGAGAGAGAAACUUUCUGUCUACUUGUCUGGGAAAUUACCACCUUAAAUUACUUUACCAUUUCUGAUUCCUGAUCGGUAGUUUAUUGACAUAGAAAAAGCAGGCAGGCUCCUCAAAUUAUAAAGGGAAGACGGGAAAUUUUAGAUCGCUCAGGGAACGAAAUAGGCAUGCUUGCUCAAUUAUACUGGAACAUCCAAUCCAUCCUUUUUAACUUGUGACUUGCAAAACAAGUUAAACGACUGAAUAUAGUGUUUCUCUUCUGGAUUGUUAAGCGUGUUUUCCUUUGCAAGCCCUUUAUCUUAAGCCAUUAUCAAACUCAAAAGAAAACAAAAGAAAUCUCAUUGACACACACAAACCAAAGCCUCC